AAAAAAAAAAUGGAUAUGUGAUCUGCUUCACACACGUGCCAAACACUCCAUCUCUUUCUUCCCCAAAAUACCCCAUUGUCUGUUCUUCCUCCCAAAACCCUUUUCUAUUCUCUGUCAACACAGAGAAACUAUAGAAACGGCCAUCGUUGCCGACAUGAGAGAGAUGAAGUCGGUUGAAAAGGCUCCAAAACAAACUGUAGGGUUUCCAAUGAAGACAACGAUUGUAGAAAAAAAAAGGAAAGGGAAAGGCCAACGACGGGCGGCGGAACCACGGCGUUACGCCGUCGCUUGCGUCGUCCCUAUACGGUAGCCUACUUCUGCAAUUGAGAUCACGAAACAAAGCUCUUAAAUUAAACGAAAUUUGUUGCGAUGAUACAUCUGUUAUCGAUCUCAGUAGGAUUUGUAUGGUAUAUAUUCUAAGUUUUAAGUUUAAACAGAUCAUGUUUUGGUUAAUUUUGUUGGAUAUGUAAGCCAAUGGAAAUCAUGUAACCCUAAAGUCGACAUCAGAUCAUCCGGAAACCAUCAUCGAGCCAUCACAUUCUUUCCGUUUACAUCUCAGGUAGGUAGCUGGGUAUUGAGACCAAGAAAUUCAACGCCACUUGCAGUUACGCUUUUAAGAUCAGUCAAUUGUUGGCUUAAUUAUUGGCUUUAAACAGAGACAGAGAUCUACCUUUAUUUCUGAAUGUAUUGUGACAUCACUUAUGACUUAUGCCUGAUGUUGUCAUGGUAGGAGUGAGCGAUUAGAUUUGAUGUCUAAAAUGGGUUUUUUGUUUGUUUCGAUACUGGAUACAAGAAAAAUUAAUUGAAAUCAAGACUGAAGCAGACCCUUUUUCACAUGGUUACUGGUGGUAAUAUAAUCUCAUUUUCAUUUUUAGUUGAGUAAUACCUCCAAUAUGAUGAUGGUCCCACACACUAAUAUAGUCAACAACUACUAUAUAAUAUGGUCAAAUGCUAGAUUUAUUGCUUUCUAACAUUUUUUUUUUUUGUUAUUAUGUUGGGAAAUUUAAUUUAGAAAAUCAGAAAAUGAAAGAAGAUAUUUGUAUAUUGUAGAGAAAAGGAAUCAAUAAAGUAAAAAAGAAAAGUAGAUGGCAAGGUGAGGAAAAAGAAAGCAAGAGAUCACAUCAUGUAUACUACACACAUACUGGCCAACAUUACAAAAAGGUUGAAGAAAUCAAAAGAAUUUCAAAAAGUUGUUAAUCCACAACUUGUAGAAAUAUCAGUGGAUGACCAAAAUGGAGUGUCAGAUAAAUCUUCUCCAACUAACCCAAAUAAUAAUUUAGAGUCAACAGGAUUGAGUUCCUAUUCCUUCUAGAAGUGUUUUCCUACAGGCUUGCACAUUGACUACUAGUUUUAUAGCGCUUUCAUGGGAGCAAUAUCUCAACAGUAAUGUUGCAGUAUGUUUUGGGAUGGAAGCCCAUGGGGUGUGGAGGUCAACCCUGGUAUGAUGUAAUCACUUGGGAAGGAAAUAAAAGUGUGGAUCAAAAUUUUGGUACUCAUUUUGUAUUCUAAUUUAUAAACUCUUCCCAUCAUUGGUGUCUUAGUUAUAUGUAAAGAAAGUUUGUUAACCUGUUAUUAC